rnacentral:rRNA from 1 species
GACGAACGCUGGCGGCGCGCUUAACACAUGCAAGUCGAACGGAAAGGCCUGCUUUCCCUUGUGGAUUGCGGGUACUCGAGUGGCGAACGGGUGAGUAACACGUGAGUGAUCUGCCCCCAACUUUGGUAUAAGCCUGGGAAACUGGGUCUAAUUCCCGAUAGGACUGCAGGGUGGUGCCUGUGGUGGAAAACGAUUUUCUAGUGGUUGGGGAUGAGCUCGCGGCCUAUCAGCUUGUUGGUGGGGUAAUGGCCUACCAAGGCGGCGACGGGUAGCCGGCCUGGGAGGGUGGACGGCAACAUUGGGACUGAGAUACGGCCCAGACUCCUACGGGAGGCAGCAGUGGGGAAUAUUACACAAUGGGCGGAAGCCUGAUGCAGCGACGCCGCGUGGGGGAUGACGGCCUUCGGGUUGUAAACUCCUUUCGACCGCGAGGAAGCCACCUGGUUGGAAGGGUGGUGACGGUAGUGGUAGAAGAAGCACCGGCUAACUACGUG